rnacentral:tRNA from 1 species
AAAGGGAGACCUAAUUCAGGUAAAAGACGAAAAAAAAGUAGUCGCUACCAAGAAUCAAUCCCAAAAGGUCGGAGCGAGGCGAAAUUGGCUUUCAAACUAGGUUCUGGGUUCACACAAGACCUGAAUCAGGAACAAGGGCUAUUAGCUCAGGUGGUUAGAGCGCACCCCUGAUAAGGGUGAGGUCCCUGGUUCGAGUCCAGGAUGGCCCACCUGCACAGGUGGCAAAAACAAGAGAAGCGAGGAAUCAGCACCUUAUCUUACUUAUAUAGUAAGAGAGAAUGCUGGCUCUGAGUAAAGAGUCCAGAGGAACCUUGAAAACUGCAUAGAGCUAGGUGAAAAAGCCAAAAAAGAAGACCGCAAG